AAAAUUUGGCACAGUUUGAUUUAGAGUGAAUUGGUCCAUGGUAGUACCGACAUAAUUCGGUCGGUUCCCAAAAAUGUACCGAGUUCGGUACCCAACCCUACCCUCCAGCCUUGCUUGGUGCAGCCCAUACAGAUUUCUGCCUCCCUGGUGUCUCAUUUAUUAAAAUGGUGCGUAGGAUCCAUACAAAAAAAUUGUGCAUACACACACCUGCAGGCAAUGUUUCCUUUUAUAAAUCACAUACAACCUAGAAAUAUGCACACAUGGACCAUCCUCAUAUCUCGCCCUCUACACUCCCACAUUCAACCAUUGAUGGCCAAUGCAAAGCACCUCAUGAAUGUUGAUGCAUAAAAUGAGCCUGCUGAUCAGUGGUUCUUUACAGUGUAUCAUGGCAACAACCCAGUGAAAGAUGAAGACGAGGGUUGUUUCUGACAUGAAACCAUAUUGUUAGGUUGCCAUAGCAGUGGGGUCACAAACAAAAUAUAUUGCGAGUGGCAACAUGUUGCUGCUGCGGCUAAUGGGUUACACUCAAGCUGCUGGAAACCUGAAUGGACAAACAAGUGUGUGUUGCAGCCACUGCAGUGUCUCCAUGCGCUCUGUACGCAUGACAGCAGUCGAGUUCACUGCAGAUUUUGAACACAAACUAUAUGAAAACUGAAAUCGUCCUUGGUGAUAUAUGCACAGUAUUAAAAGAUAUUAUUACACAGCUUGGCGACGGUGUCAAGCAUUACAAGGUCUUUCACCAGAAGGAAUACCUAAUGUGCAUCCCAUGUGGCUG